ensembl:misc_RNA Y_RNA Y RNA
GGCUGGUUUGAAGGUAGUGAGUUAUCUCAGUUGAUCAGUUAUGGAUCUAACAUCUUAUGCUAUUCUUUCCCCUUUUCUCACUACUGCACUUGACUAGUCUUAA